GUUGAAUACAAUGGAGUCUGCUACUACUUCUCCAGGGAUUACAGAACCUGGGAUGAGGCUCAGGAGCGGUGCUCGGAGUUCGGGGCCUCCCUGGCCAUUGUCAAGGAUGAGGCAAUGGAUUUGCUCUUCCGCCUCGGCGGGAACGGCGAUUACUGGGUGGGGCUGCGCAGAUGGGGCGAGCACCUGCAGUGGGGGGACGGCAGCAGCUUCAGCUCCUCGGUUCCUGUCCUGGGCAAUUCCGAGUGUGUGUACCUGGCUGAGGAGAAAUUCAGGAGUGUGAUCUGCUCGAAUCCGCAGCCGUAUCUCUGCAGCAAGCCCCGAGCUCCCCUGUAACAGGGGCUGGAGAAAGGAGCUUCUCCACGCUGGGCAGUCCCAGCUUCACCUCUCAGCCCAGCUCAGGGCUGUCCUUUCUCAGCUGCACCCUGUGCCUUGCACUUGCUCUCAGGGUCACCUCAGUGCCUGUUCAUCCCCCUGCCAGCGCUGGGCUGGCUGUUCAAAGGAAAAGUCUCUGCAAUCCAUCCUGCCAGCCUGCUAGCUGGAGUGAGGGGAUUGCCCUCAGUGCACAACAAGCUCUGGUUGAAGAAUGGUCUCUCUCUCUGCCUGUGUCUCUGUCUGUCUGUCUAUCUCUCUGUCUGUCUUUUUGUCUGUUGUGAAGGAUCUAACUGCUCUGCUGUGGGAGGAAAGCCAGGGUGGAGCAGGACAAGGAAUACUCUCCCUGAGGGGGAAGCAGACACACGAUGUUACUGUAACCCCCAUCCCUUUGUGUUGCAGUGUGUGAAAUAGAGAAUUCUUCAGAGUGAGAUCAGAGUGCAGGGAUUCAAUUAAAACUUUUAAACAGAUUACUGUAUAUUAAGCCAGUCAUAUAUGAAACAGAGAUGUAAGCUGCUAUUUUAAGUAUGCAUGUAACUUUAUAUUUAUAUUAUUUCUAUUUGUAUUAUUUGUAUUAUUCAUAUUACCUUUUUACUGCCUUAAGAAUAAAAGACAUAGAAUUUAGCGUUAAAAAGAAGUUUUAGUGAGAGCUCAGAAACAAAAAUAAAUCUCAACAACAAGUCUCAGUGAGAGGUCAAAAACCUUAUUUUAGACCAAAAAAAAAAAGUAAGAAUAAUGUUUACAUUUUUCUGAUAGAACAGAUAAGGUGUAUAUGCAGAUUCUAUGUAAACGAUUGUAUUAAAAAAGUGGAAUUCUGAUAGUUUUAAAAUAAAUGUUUCAGAUUUGUGUUUUUAACUCACUCGAUAAUUUGUAAAUAAAUCAAUGCACUGGGGAGA